GAUGAACGCUGGCGGCGUGCCUAAUACAUGCAAGUCGAGCGAACAGACGAGGAGCUUGCUCCUCUGACGUUAGCGGCGGACGGGUGAGUAACACGUGGAUAACCUACCUAUAAGACUGGGAUAACUACGGGAAACAGGAGCUGAUAACAGAUCAUAUAUUGAACCGCAUGGUUCAAUAGUGAAAGACGGUUUUGCUGUCACAUAUAGAUGGAUCCGCGCCGCAUUAGCUAGUUGGUAAGGUAACGGCUUACCAAGGCGACGAUGCGUAGCCGACCUGAGAGGAUGAUCGGCCACACUGGAACUGAGACACGGUCCAGACUCCUACGGGAGGCAGCAGUAGGGAAUCUUCCGCAAUGGGCGCAAGCCUGACCGAGCAAUGCCGCGUGAGUGAUGAAGGUCUUCGGAUCGUAAAACUCUGUUAUUAGGAAAGAACAAAUGUGUAAUUAACUAUGCACGUCUUGACGGUACCUAAUCAGAAAGCCACGGCUAACUACGUG
rnacentral:rRNA from 1 species